GCUCCAGUCUGCACAGCUAGUCAGAAGGAGGCUUUUACGUAUUGGGUCCCUGUCUGUGUUAGUAUUUCCUUUCCUUCCAGUCGGUUUGGGGAAAAAAGCAUUGUACGUAAAUAUUUGCUGUACUUUGCACACUGCCAGGUUGUCAUGUGCUUUUAAGCUGCUGAAUAUAUUUAUAGUGAUGACAUCUGGAGGGCGGCAGCUGACUGUGUCAACAGCAAGCUCGCAAUCACACCGUGUUGAACACCGAGGGGAAAUGGAACAAUGAAGAAAGUGCUCCUGAGACACGUGAGAGGCUGGAAUCUCUCUGAUUCUCUCCCAUCAGGCAGGAGGCAGAAGAUACUAAAGGCUGAAAGCACGUACCACCAGGCACCAGGACAGCCUCUACCCCACGGUUAUAAGGUUAUUGAGUAGUUCCCCAGUACGCCACAGGUGAGGUCCCGGAGGACUGGCGAGUGGCUAAUGUUGUACUUCUAUUGAAGAAGGGAACAAGGGAGAAUCCUGGAAACUACAGACGGGGGGAAGAAGGAGAAGCUCACAUGGUCAUAGGGCGAACGUGCAAACUCCACACAGACAGCACCAGAGGUCAGGAUGGAACCCGGACGCUGCUGCUGAGAGGUCUAAUGGCUCAAACUGCCUAAUACCAGAGGGUGUGCAACUAAACCAUCAGACUCCUGAACUGAUGCGGAUAACUUCACUCUCCUCAACGCUGAACUGAUUCCACAACUGACAGACUCACUUUCAAGGACUCUGCAACUCAUGUUCUUGGUAUUUUUUUGUUUGCACUGUUGUCUUCUUCUGCAUAUUGGUUGUUUGUCUGUCUGUAUAGCUGUUGGAAAGUCUGUUGUAACUUAUCUCUGUAAAUGCCUGCAAGAAAAUAAGCCCUUAAGACUCGUGAGCACAAUUAGGCCAUUCGGCCUAUCAAGUCUGCUCCGCCGUUCUAUCAUGUCUGAUUUAUUAUCCUUCUCAACUCCAUCACCUGGCCUCGCCCCAGAACCUUUGAUGUCCGAGCUAACCAAAGAUAAAUAUCUAGGUAGUAUAUGGUAACGUAUACGUACUUGCUAAUAAAUUUACUUUGAACUUUGAAAUACCAGGGGGUAUACGUUUAAGGUGAGAGAUGGGUGUAAAUAAGUUUCACAAAGCAAUUAAGUACCCGGGGCAGCACGGUAGCACAGUGGUUAGAACAAUGCUUUACAGUACACAUGACCUGGGUUCAAUUCCCACUGCUGCCUGUUUGUACAUUUUUCCCGUGACCGCGUGGGUUUCGUGCCUGUGAAGAGUUUGUACGUUUUCCCCGUGACCGCGUGGGUUUCCUGUGAGGAGUUUGUACGUUCUCCCCAUGACCGCGUGGGUUUCCUGUGAAGAGUUUGUACAUUUUCCCCGUGACCGCGUGGGUUUCCUGUGAGGAGAUUGUAUUUUCUUCACGUGACCGCGUGGGUUUCCUGUGAGGAGUUUGUAUGUUUUCCCCGUGACCGCGUGGGUUUCCUGUGAGGAGUUUGUACGUUCUCCCCAUGACCGCGUGGGUUUCCUGUGAGGAGUUUGUACGUUUUCCCCGUGACCGCGUGGGUUUCCUGUGAGUAGUUUGUACGUUUUACCCAUGACCGCGUGGGUUUCCUGUGAGGAGUUUGUAUGUUCUCCCUAUGACCGCGUGGGUUUCCUGUGAGGAGUUUGUAUGUUCUCCCCGUGACCGCGUGGGUUUCCUGUGAGGAGUUUGUACGUUUUCCCCGUGACCGCGUAGGUUUCCUGUGAGGAGUUUUUACGUUUUACCCGUGACCGCGUGGGUUUCCUGUGAGGAGUUUGUACGUUCUCCCCGUGACCGCGUGGGUUUCCUCUGGGUGCUCCAGUUUCCUCCCACGUUCAAAGAGACACCAGUUGGUAGGUUAAUUGGUCAUUGAAAAUUGUCCCAUCUAUUAGGCUAGGACGGAGUUGGGGGAUUGCUGGGCAGCGUGGCUCAAAGCACUGGAAGGGCCUUUCCAACGCUGUAUCGCAAUAAAUAAAAAACAAUAUUUUUUUUAGCACACAGGGAGCCAGGUGCCUGGAACAUGCCGCCUGGGGAGGUGGUGAAAUAACAGCAAAAAUUAGAGGCACUUGGGCAGGGAACGGAGGGUUUUGUGCUCUCCUAUAUGCAGGCAGGUGCGAUUAUGUGGCUGGACAUCAUGGCCAACACAGACUCUGUGAGCCAAAGGGUCUCCCCCUGUGCUGGACUGUUCUAUGCCCCACAGAAAUGGGACUGAAGCAGGUCAGCCAUCAUCUCAAUAAACAGCAGAGCAAACGAGAGCCUCAAUAUCUUCUUCCUGCUCCUGGUUGCUAUAUUCCUAUUUUUUUGUCCUUAUCUUUCAACAUCCACUUGACAUCCUUCCUGAACAGACUUGCAUUAAUUUCAAUGUUACACCUCUCUCCAAACAGAGGAAAUAAUUUCACACUACUUAUCCAAUCGAGUUCACUCGAUCAGAUAAAUCACAGCUUGCACAGUCAUUCAGACAUAAACCAAGGGGACCUACCCUUAUAAUUUAACCUUCUAAAGAAGAUCAAAAUAAAAAAAAAUUAUCAGAAUCAGAAUCAGGUUUAAUGCCACUGGCAUGGGUUGUGAAAUUUGUUAUUUUGUGGCAGCAGUGCAUUGCAAUGUGUUAUAAUGAUAAAAGCACUUAGAUUAUAAUAUAUACACAGUAGUGUGCAGAAGUCUGAGGCACGUAUAUGUCGUUAGGGUGCACAGUACUGUAUAUGACAGCAUGGAGCAGAGAGUGAUGGCAGCAAAGGGUAUUGGGAAUGGUGAGGGUGGAGUGCCGCAGGAGGGGUGAGGGACAGGUGGCAGAGAAGGAGUGCCAGGGACGGACACACCCAGCCCUGAGACUCCAGACAAGGUCAUUGAUUCCAAACAAUGGGUUUAUUGAUCAAUACAGAAUGUCUAUCUGAUGCUUCCUGCUCCCUCCCCUCUCCCUUCCCCUUUUCCCAACCAUGAUUCCCCUCUCCCUGCCCCCUUCCCAUUCUCAGUCCACAAUAGAGACCCAGAUCAGAAUCAGGUUUAUCGUCAUUCACAUAUGUCAUGAAAUCUGUUUUAUUUUGCGAUACCAGUACAAUGCAAUACAUAAAAUUACUACAGUACUCUGCAAAAGCCUUAUAGGCAUCCGUUAGUCUCAUGAGACCAUAGAUUUGCGUCUUAGAAGGUUUCCAGGCCGUAGGCCUGGGCAAGGUUGUAUGGAAGACUGGCAGUUGCCCAUGGUGCAAGUCUCUCCUCUCCACGCCACCGGUGUUGUCCAAGGGAAGGGCAUUAGGACCCAUACAGCUUGGCACCGGUGUCGUCGCAGAGCAAUGUGUGGUUAAGUGCCUUGCUCAAGGACACAACACGCUGCCUCAGCCAAGGCUCGAACUAGCGACCUUCAGAUCACUAGACGAACGCCCUAACCACUUGGCCACGUGCCAAGACGCAACAGCCUUAGACACUCUAGUUAUACGUAUGUGCCGAAGACUUUUCCACACUACUGUUCGUACUUGUUGUAUGCAUACAAUAAGGCUCUUGUAUCUCCUCUCUGAUGGUAGCAAUGUGAAGAGGGCUUUAUUUGUCAAGUGUACAUUAAAAAUACCGAGAGUGAGAGGAUACAUUUUUUACACAGAGAUUGGUGAGUGUGAUGGUAGAGACACAUACAAUAGGGACAUUUAAGACUCUUAGAUGGGAACAUGGGUGAAAGAAAAAUGAAGGACUAUGUGUCAAGGAAGGGUUAAAGUAGGUUAAAAGGGCAGCACAAUACUGUGGGCUGAAGGGCCUGUACUGUGCUAUGUUCUAUAUAUAUUCUAUAUGGAAGAAAACCAGAAACCCACACAGUCAUGAGCAGAGGAUACAAAUCCCUCACAGACAAUGGUGGGAAUUGAACUCUGAUCUUCUGAUCGCUGGUGCUUCUGUACCAUGCCAUCUCUAAUCCUUAGUAUCAUGACAGCAGAGGUAGUGGAGGGCAUGUAACAGGAUCUUGUGGGACCCAGCAACAAUCAAGCCAGCCUUCAAACUGGAGAAAACCAAUCCAUCGCCAAUACUUCACCACAUACUGAAAAUUAAAAGGACACUUAAUUACAAAGUUGACAAUUAAACCUGAAUUUAUCCACAGAUCAAUUCGAUCAUGGUUUAAUUAGGACAAAGUACAUGCCAGGAACAAGAGGCUAAUUAACAGUGCUUCAGAUACAGCCUUAAAUCCAAUUACUAUUGGCAAACAGUGUGCAUAAUCGAAGGACAGUUAAUGGAUUAAUCACAUAAUCUGAUCUCGAGUGACAAUCUCACUCAAUCUCCAAGCGUGUGGUCACCAAGUCAGAUCCAUAAAUCCCUAAAGCAUUUUUAUCUUCAAAGCAUUUUGUUUUUGGUGUAGAGAAUAAGAAGAAAAAAUAAGAAAGUGAAUAGUUAAUUCAAUUCGCUUCAUUCCAGUACGUGCGGCCUAACUGAAUUAAAGGGCAGUGUAAGCAAGUCAGGGAUAUUAAGUACAUUUACAACAAACUGGGUUUCAGAGUCUGACGCAGAGAGCAAAAAGCUUUA